rnacentral:rRNA from 1 species
AUUGAACGCUAGCGGGAUGCCUUACACAUGCAAGUCGAACGAGUGGCGGACGGGUGAGUAAUAUCUCGGAAACUGCCCAGUAGAGGGGGAUAACUACUGGAAAGAGAGCUAAUACCGCAUACUAUCGGAUCUGCCCAGAUCGGAUUAGCUAGUUGGUGGGGUAACUGCUCACCAAGGCGACGAUCCUUAGCUGGUCUGAGAGGACGACCAGCCACACUGGAACUGAGACACGGCCCAGACUCCUACGGGAGGCAGCAGUGGGGAAUUUUGUACAAUGGGGGAAACCCUGAUCCAGCCAUCCCGCGUGUAUGAUGAAGGCCUUCGGGUUGUAAAGUACUUUUGGCGGAGAAGCGUUAUCUGCAGAAUAAGCACCGGCUAACUCCGUGCCAGCCGCCGCGGUAAUAC